AUACGUAGGGGGCGAGCGUUGUCCGGAAUGAUUGGGCGUAAAGGGCGCGUAGGCGGCGCGGUAAGUCUGGAGUGAAAGUCCUGCUUUCAAGGUGGGAAUUGCUUUGGAUACUGCCGCGCUUGAGUGCAGGAGAGGUUAUCGGAAUUCCCGGUGUAGCGGUGAAAUGCGUAGAGAUCGGGAGGAACACCAGUGGCGAAGGCGGGUAACUGGACUGCAACUGACGCUGAGGCGCGAAAGUGUGGGGAGCAAACAGGAUUAGAUACACUGGUAGUCCACACUGUAAACGAUGAAUGCUAGGUGUAAGAGGUAUCGACCCCUUUUGUGCCGGAGUCAACACAAUAAGCAUUCCGCCUGGGGAGUACGGCCGCAAGGUUGAAACUCAAAGGAAUUGACGGGG
rnacentral:rRNA from 1 species